rnacentral:lncRNA from 1 species
ACAUUUAAGAAUAAAAAAAAAAUAAUAUUAUUGUAUUCUACUUAAACAUUAGCACAAUUCCUUAUAUUUAUUCAAAAAAUAUCUCUAGAAAAUAUAACUUUAUAAAAAAAAAAAAAAAAAAAAAAAUUUCUUUAAAACAUUGAUAAAAUUUUGUAUAAAAUAAUUUGAAAAUAAAACAAAACGAUAGUUGAUUAGAUAAAUACAUAUACAUUAAUGUAUAAGCUUGUAGAUAUGUUUUUUCCAAACUUGAAUAAUUAACUAUAUGUUUUACCUAUUGUAUUUUUUAAUGCACAAUUUGGUAACACAUAUUACGAAUUUUUUUUUUUUUUUUUUAUAAACAUUUUUAAGCUUUUUUUAUUUUUAAUGAAUUUUCAAAACUAAAUGUGAACUAGUACUUUUUUAAAAAAAUAACUGAUUAAUAUUUUUAUUUUGUGUACGUCUGCACAGUACGUAAGCAUAUUUAUAUACGUAUUUCAGUAGUGACACUUUACACGCACUGGUAGACUUUAACAUGCGUUAAUGUGCUCAUAUUUUUGUAAAAUAAAUACGCUCUAUAAAUCUAAAUAUAUACAUACACUAAUAGAUACAUGUAUAAUAAUAUUUUGAAUGACUAGAUAAUGUUAGGAAAAAGAAAAUAUAUCGAGGCACACCAAAAAAAAAAAGUAAGAAAAUGGAUUGAAGAAUUAGAUGAAGAUUCUAAAGAAAUAGACAUAGAGUGCUUAAACGAUUUAGAACAAACUGAAAAAAGUCAUUUACAAGAGUUAAAUAAGACAGAAGAACAAGAAGAGGAGGAGGAAGAAAAAAUAAUAUCAAAAAUAAAUAAACAGAACGAUGUUGACAACGAAUCGGAUGAAACAAUUUAUGAAGUUAGUAAAAAAAAUGAUUCUAACAAAAAAAAAAGAAGAUACGACUGGAUGAGUAGUGAUGAUGAAGAUAUAUCAUCAAGUGAUGAAGAAGAAGAGGAGGAGGAGGAGAAGGAGAAAGUGGAAGAGAAAGACGGAAUAAAAAAUGAAAACAAUGGUGGGUUAACAAAUGAACCAAAUAAUGAACCAAAUAAUGAGCUAAAUGACGAGCUAAAUAAUGAGAACAACGAAGAGUAUCCUAAUACGAGCAUUAACAAUAAUAAUAAUAAUAAUAAUAAUAGUGCUGUCAGUUGUGAAUACACAGCUUAUAAUAAAAAGGUAGCUACUAAAAUAAAUAGUGAUAAUAUUAAUUAUUAUGAAAUAAUUGAUAGUAUAAAUAAAUAUUCAAUUAAUCCAUUAGAUAUAAAACUAGAAGACAUUGAACAUCUUAUAACUUACAUUUAUUUUAAUAACAUUCAUUUUAAUUGUAUUACAGAACAUUUAGUGGAGUUUUUAGAAAAUCAUACUGAUAAUAAAAUUUUACAAAUUAAUUCAGAUAAAUUUCAGAAUUAUACUAUUAUAUAUAAAUAUAAUGAAAAAAAUAAUGAUAAGGUGGUAAUAAGUAAAUUUCCACAUAUGGGCAAACUAUUUGUUCAUGUAAAAAAUUAUCAAGAUGUUCUCAGAUUACUAAAAUUAAACGAAACUCAAUUUAUGGGAAGAACAAUAAAAUCCAUACAAGCAUACAAAAAGAAAGAUUGUUUUUUUACGUUACAAACGCCGUCUCAUUACAAGCACUUUAUCCAAGUGAUAGUUAAUGAGAAAAACAAGAAUGUUUCAAAUUAUGUUUGGUUAAGGUAAACAAAACCGAAAAAAAAAAGAAUUAUUAUUAAGUUUUUGGGUAGCUAAUCUAAGUUAACAAAUUAUCCUUUAAAAGUUAUUUCUUUUGAAGUUGUGUUAUAUUCAUGUAUAGGUAGUACUAUAUAGGUAUAUAUAAAUAUGUGUGACGUAUAUAUAUAAAUCAUGUAUAUACGUUGGUAUGGCCCUUUUUUUUUUUUAUUUGUUUUUGUUAUUGUUGUAAGUAAGAACAGGUAUGAAUAAAAUUCUUAAAAAUGCUUUAGCA